rnacentral:rRNA from 1 species
AACGAACGCUGGCGGCAGGCUUAACACAUGCAAGUCGAGCGCCCCGCAAGGGGAGCGGCAGACGGGUGCGUAACGCGUGGGAACAUACCCUUUGGUUUGGAAUAACUCAGGGAAACUUGAGCUAAUACCGGAUAAGCCCUUCGGGGGAAAGAUUUAUCGCCAUAGGAUUGGCCCGCGUCUGAUUAGCUAGUUGGUGAGGUAACGGCUCACCAAGGCGACGAUCAGUAGCUGGGCUGAGAGGAUGAUCAGCCACACUGGGACCGCGACACGGCCCAUACUCGUACGGGAGGCAGGAGUGGGGAAUAUUGGACGAUGGGCGCAAGCCUGAUCCAGCCAUGCCGCGUGAGUGAUGACGGCCUUAGGGUUGUAAAGCUCUUUCGCUAGGGACGAUAAUGACGGUACCUAGAUAAGAAGCCCCGGCUAACUUCGUGCCAGCCGCCGCCGUAA